rnacentral:rRNA from 1 species
UACGAAGGGAGCUAGCGUUGUUCGGAAUCACUGGGCGUAAAGCGCACGUAGGCGGAUGUGUCAGUCAGGGGUGAAAUCCCGGAGCUCAACUUCGGAACUGCCCUUGAUACAGCACGUCUUGAGUCCGGAAGAGGUGGGUGGAAUUCCUAGUGUAGAGGUGAAAUUCGUAGAUAUUAGGAAGAACACGGUGGCGAAGGCGGCCCACUGGUCCGGUACUGACGCUGAGGUGCGAAAGCGUGGGGGAGCAAAACAGG